rnacentral:tRNA from 1 species
GGGCAGGUAGCGAAGUGGUAAAGCGUUCUCUAAGCGUAUUCAGCGUUGUUUCUCUCCAGCGUUUAGCGAAAGACCCGGGUUCGAGUCCCGGCCCGCCUA